rnacentral:ncRNA from 1 species
CGUCUCCUCCAUGUCUCCUCUUGAUAUGGAUUCAGCCCGCCAGCCUGGCGGGCUUUCUUUU